rnacentral:rRNA from 1 species
ACUGUUAAUCUUCGGAAUUGUAGUCUGUAUAAGCCAGGUCAGCAGUAUCAUUCAGUAAAGUGUCCUGGAACGGACUGCCAAGGAGGGUGAUAGCCCCGUCUACACUGAAUGUGAAUGCGUACGACCGGUUUUCAAAGAGUCGAGUUGCUUGGGACUGCAGCUCUAAGUGGGUGGUAAAUUCCAUCUAAAGCUAAAUAUUGGUGGGAGACCGAUAGCAAACAAGUACCGUGAGGGAAAGAUGAAAAGAACUUUGAAAAGAGAGUUAAAGAGUACCUGAAAUUGCUGAAAUGGAACCGAUGGGAGGCAGUGUUGGUGUGCAACUGAGUUUCUCGGUUGUGCACAAGUCAGGCUUAUUUGGCGUUGUGGUAGAGAUCCCAAACCUGCAUGGGCUGGGAAUAUCAUCAUGAUGUUGAAUGACUCUGACGAAAUGCCUCUCAUCAUCCCGUCUUGAAACACGGACCAAGGAGUCUAACAUGUUUGCGAGUGCUCGGAGUUCAUCUCCAAGCGCGAAAUUAACGUGAAUGUAACCUAGUUACAUAGGUAGGAUGCUUAGGCUGCACUAUCGACCGACCAUGAUCCUACGGGAGAAAGGUUUGAGUGUGAGCACACAUGUUGGGACCCGAAAGAUGGUGAACUAUGCUUGAGUAGGACGAAGCCAGGGGAAACUCUGGUGGAGGUCCGCAGCGAUUCU